rnacentral:rRNA from 1 species
AUUGAACGCUGGCGGCAGGCCUAACACAUGCAAGUCGGACGGCAGCACGGGAGCUUGCUCCUGGUGGCGAGUGGCGGACGGGUGAGUAGUGCUUGGGAAUCUGCCUGGCAUUGGGGGAUAACUCGGGGAAACUCGAGCUAAUACCGCGUACGCCCUGAGGGGGAAAGCAGGGGACUUGCUUGCAAGCCUUGCGAUGUCAGAUGAGCCCAAGCCGGAUUAGCUAGUUGGUAGGGUAAAGGCCUACCAAGGCGACGAUCCGUAGCUGGUCUGAGAGGAUGAUCAGCCACACUGGGACUGAGACACGGCCCAGACUCCUACGGGAGGCAGCAGUGGGGAAUAUUGGACAAUGGGGGCAACCCUGAUCCAGCCAUGCCGCGUGUGUGAAGAAGGUCUUAGGAUUGUAAAGCACUUUAAGUCAGGAGGAAGGCGCUCUGGUUAAUACCUGGAGUGA